rnacentral:lncRNA from 1 species
UGGAACUGCUGUCCAGAGAUCAGCUGGCGGCUGCGGAGCAAACAGCCCGAGCUAAUUAGCAAAAGGUCACGCCCGCUCCUGGAGGCCCCGCUUUUGAAGUCAGGGCCUCACACAGACAGGCUGGAAGGGACUGAGGCUUUGAGUUAGUGGCUUGGUUACCGGAAUGGCUUCAAAACCCUGCCCACAGCUCAUCACUUGACCACCCAGCAGCCCACAGCUCUGAAUUCACCUUUUAGAAAUUCCCGGCGCCAGGGGUCCAUCCACCUACUCCGGGCCCAGGCUGGACAAACCACGGAGACCAGUCCCCAGUGUGGGUCCAGGGCUGGCCUCAACCCCCGCAUCCCCCCGGGCACCCAGCCCAGAGCCCAGGGGUGGACCAUCCAUGGACCUUCCGUAGCAGCCACCCACGUACCGCUCCCCCCCGGCCCCGCCCUCCCGCUGACUGCAUUCUUACUGUUUUUCCUCUUAAAUAAAUUUACUUCUUAAAAACUUAAAUAUAUUUAUUUAAACUCACGGGCUGAGGGUGGGCUGACCCAGUGGAGCCCGUUGGGCCGGACCAGUCGGUGGGCAGGACCCAGCCACGCCUCCUUGUCUCACAGGCCUCAGGGAGGGGAUGCCCGCGGGGCGAGGCUGAUCCCUAGAAGCACCUCCAGGCGCCAAACGAGCACAGUCCCUAGAUUCACACCCAGGUGGGAGGCGCGGUGCCCUGCCUGGCUGGAUACCAGCUGCCGGCACGCCCUUGGGUGCUGGGGCGAGGCUGCAUCCACCUCCAGGUACACAGGCCCAGGUACACAGGCCCAUGCACACACAGGUCCCAGCGUGUGUGUGCGUGCACACACACAGCCACCGCACACCUAGGUGUGCCAGGUGUGGGGGCGGCAAAGGCUGGGCAGCCCAUCACCCCACGCGCUGAGAUAAGGGUUCUUUAGGCCUGUAAUCCUCCUUAACUUGACUUUGGGUUAUUUUGAGCAAGAGAUUAAAAGUGAUUAUGACCAGGCUGCGCCUCCUAGCUGGGCUCCGCACACGCCUGGUGCUCCCAUCCACCUGCUGCCCAAUGGCUUGCAGCCCGGGGCACAGGCCCAGCUGCCUGCCCACUCUGGGCAGUAGAGCGACC